rnacentral:rRNA from 1 species
GACAGAGGGGGCAAGCGUUGCUCGGAAUCACUGGGCGUAAAGGGCGUGCAGGCGGUCUGUUAAGUGCAGGGUGAAAGCUCCCGGCUCAACUGGGAGAGGUCCUUGCAUACUGGCGGACUUGAGGGGGGUAGAGGAAAGUGGAAUUCCCGGUGUAGUGGUGAUAUGCGUAGAUAUCGGGAGGAACACCUGUGGCGAAGGCGGCUUUCUGGGCCCUACCUGACGCUGAGACGCGAAAGCGUGGGGAGCGAACCGG